UACGGGGGGGGCAAGCGUUGUCCGGAAUUACUGGGCGUAAAGGGCUCGUAGGCGGCCAACUAAGUCGGAUGUGAAAUCCCCAGGCUCAACCUGGGAACGGCAUCCGAUACUGGAUGGCUUGAAUCCGGGAGAGGGAUGCAGAAUUCCAGGUGUAGCGGUGAAAUGCGUAGAUAUCUGGAGGAAUACCGGUGGCGAAGGCGGCAUCCUGGACCGGCAUUGACGCUGAGGAGCGAAAGCCAGGGGAGCAAACGGG
rnacentral:rRNA from 1 species